UACGAAGGGGGCUAGCGUUGCUCGGAAUUACUGGGCGUAAAGGGCGCGUAGGCGGAUAGUUUAGUCAGAGGUGAAAGCCCAGGGCUCAACCUUGGAAUUGCCUUUGAUACUGGCUAUCUUGAGUUCGGGAGAGGUGAGUGGAAUGCCGAGUGUAGAGGUGAAAUUCGUAGAUAUUCGGCGGAACACCAGUGGCGAAGGCGAUCACCUGGGGUUGUUCUGACGCUGAGGAGCGAAAGCUAGGGGAGCAAACGGG
rnacentral:rRNA from 1 species